GAUGAAGAACGUAGCGAAAUGCGAUAAGUAAUGUGAAUUGCAGAAUUCAGUGAAUCAUCGAAUCUUUGAACGCACAUUGCGCCCGCCAGUAUUCUGGCGGGCAUGCCUGUUCGAGCGUCAUUACAACCCUCAGGCCCCCGGGCCUGGCGUUGGAGAUCGGCAGAAGCCCCCUGUGGGCACACGCCGUCCCUCAAAUACAGUGGCGGUCCCGCCGCAGCUUCCAUUGCGUAGUAGCUAACACCUCGCAACUGGAGAGCGGCGCGGCCAUGCCGUAAAACACCCAACUUCUGAAUGUUGACCUCGAAUCAGGUAGGAAUACCCGCUGAACUUAAGCAUAUCAAUAAGCGGAGGA
rnacentral:misc_RNA from 1 species